rfam:Sanguibacter keddieii DSM 10542, complete genome.
UGAGUUGGCCAGACGACCGCGUCAGGGCUUCGGCCCUGCCGAGGAACGUCCGGGCUCCACAGAGCGAGGUGGUGGGUAACGCCCACCCGGGGUGACCCGCGGGACAGUGCCACAGAGAACAGACCGCCGCAGACGUCCGCGUCUGAGGUAAGGGUGAAACGGUGGUGUAAGAGACCACCAGCGCGCCAGGUGACUGGCGUGGCUCGGUAAACCCCACCUGGAGCAAGGUCAGACAGGGUGUGCUUGAGGGCUGCUCGCCCGAGCACCCGGGUAGACCGCUAGAGGCGUGCGGCAACGUACGUCGUAGAUGGAUGGUCGUCGCCCACACGCGGGCAACUGCGCGUGGGACACAGAACCCGGCGUACCGGCCAGCUCAUCCG